ensembl:snRNA U6 U6 spliceosomal RNA
GUGCUCGCUUUGGCAGCACAUAUACUAAAAUUGGAACGAUACAGAGAAGAUUAGCAUGGCCCUUGCACAAGGACAUGCAAAUUCAUGAAGCGUUCCAUAUUUUA